ACAUCCUGGGGCUGGAGAAGGUCCCAAGGGUUGGGCUGUUCGCCCAUGAAAGCGGUACGCGAGCUGGGUUCAGAACGUCGUGAGACAGUUCGGUCCAUAUCCGGUGCAGGCGUUAGAGUAUUGAGAGGAGUCCCCCUUAGUACGAGAGGACCGGGGGGAAUACACCGCUGGUGUACCAGUUAUCGUGCCAACGGUAAACGCUGGGUAGCCAAGUGUAGAGUGGAUAACUGCUGAAAGCAUCUAAGUAGGAAGCCCAUCUCAAGAUGAAUACUCUCACCGUUUUAAACGGUUAAGAUCACGGGAAGAACACCCGUUAUAUAGGCACUAAGUGUAAGUACAGUAAUGUAUUCAGCUGAGGUGUACUAACAGAUCGA
rnacentral:rRNA from 1 species